GGAGCCGGCCAGGUGGUCGCUGCGAAUCUUCGGAUUCGGGGAGGAAAGUCCGGGCUCCACAGGGCACGGUGGUGGGUAACUCCCACCGUCCGCGAGGGCAGGGAAAGUGCAACAGAAAGCAAACCGCCGGUCCGGUUCGCCGGUCCGGUAAGGGUGAAACGGUGCGGUAAGAGCGCACCAGCAGGCCGGGUGACCGGUCUGGCUAGGUAAACCCCACCGGGUGCAAGACCAAGCAGAGAGCAGUCCCGGUUCGCCGGGACCUGGAUCGGCCCGAUCCGGUACGACUCUCGGGUAGGUCGCGCGAGGUAGCAGGCAACUGCUGUCCCAGAUAAAUGGCCACUCACGACAUAACCCGGCUUACAGGCCGACUCCCGCU
rnacentral:RNase_P_RNA from 1 species